rnacentral:rRNA from 1 species
GAUGAACGCUGGCGGCGUGCCUAACACAUGCAAGUCGAACGGAAAGGCCCAGCUUGCUGGGUACUCGUGUGGCGAACGGGUGAGUAACUCGUGGGUUAUCUGCCCUCAACUUUGGGAUAAGCCAGGGCAACUGGGUCUAAUACCGGAUAUGAACAACUGUCGCAUGGUGGGUGGAGGAAAGCUUUUGCGGUUGAGGGUGGGCUCGCGGCGUAUCAGCUUGUUGGUGGGGUAAUGGUCAACCAAGGCGGCGACGGGUAGCCGACCUUGGAGGGUGGUCGGCCACCCUGGGACUAAGACAGGCCGCAGUCUCCAACGGUAGGCAGCAGUGGGGAAUAUGGCACAAUGGGCGCAAGCCUGAUGCGACGACGCCGCGUGCGUGAUGACGUCCUUCGGGUUGUAAACCUCUGUCGCCAGAGACGAAGCGUGAGUGACGGUACCUGGAGAAGAAGCACCGGCCAACUACGUG